UACGGAGGAUGCGAGCGUUAUCCGGAUUUAUUGGGUUUAAAGGGUGCGUAGGCGGCCUUGUAAGUCAGCGGUGAAAUUUUGCAGCUUAACCGUAAAAGUGCCGUUGAUACUGUGAGGCUAGGAUUUGGUUGCUGUGGGUGGAAUGUGUGGUGUAGCGGUGAAAUGCUUAGAGAUCACACAGAAUAUCGAUUGCGAAGGCAGCUCACAAAGCCAAGAUUGACGCUGAGGCACGAAAGUGUGGGGAUCAAACAGGAUUA
rnacentral:rRNA from 1 species